rnacentral:lncRNA from 1 species
CUGCUUUAAGUCAUUGACCUUUCCAUGCCUUAAAGCAAAAGGACUCCUCCUUUUGGUGCCCCAUAAUGUGAUUUCUCACAAAAAACACCGAUGAAAAGUGGGGGCACCAACUUGUUAGCAUCCCUUGAUCUCUAUCCAUUUGGGGCUCCUAUCUCUCCCUUCUUCUCCAUGCAAAACCAUAGGGGGUGUGGCCCCUAGAGUUUAUCCAAAAAAUAGAAGAAGGCAUGCACCCAUCUGGAUCUUAUCCAGAUGGCGUGUCCCCUUUCUUUCCUCCAAAAUUCCACGCACAAAAUGUAGAGAGGGGGUGCCAACUUUUGGCACCCCAUCCUUUUCAUUCUUAUCCAGUCUAG